rnacentral:rRNA from 1 species
CCUACGGGAGGCAGCAGUGAGGAAUAUUGGUCAAUGGGCGUAAGCCUGAACCAGCCAAGCCGCGUGAGGGAUGAAGGUUCUAUGGAUCGUAAACCUCUUUUAUAAGGGAAUAAAGUGCGGGACGUGUCCCGUUUUGUAUGUACCUUAUGAAGAAGGAUCGGCUAACUCCGUGCCAGCAGCCGCGGUAAUACGGAGGAUCCGAGCGUUAUCCGGAUUUAUUGGGUUUAAAGGGUGCGUAGGCGGGCGUUUAAGGCAGCGGUGAAAGUCGGGGGGUCAACCAUAGCAUAGCCGUUGAAACUGGGAGGCUUGAGUGCGGUGGAGGUAGGCGGAAUUCGUGGUGUAGCGGUGAAAUGCUUAGAUAUCGCGAAGAACACCGAUUGCGAAGGCAGCGUACUGAGCUGCCACUGACGUUGAGGCACGAAAGUGUGGGUAUCAAACAGGAUUAGAUACCCUUGUAGUC